rnacentral:hammerhead_ribozyme from 1 species
AUCGAGCCGACGAGUCCCAAAUAGGAAGAAAUGCGCGUCCUGGAU